CAGUAGCCACGGUAAUACGAAGGGGGCUAGCGUUGCUCGGAAUCACUGGGCGUAAAGGGUGCGUAGGCGGGUCUUUAAGUCAGGGGUGAAAUCCUGGAGCUCAACUCCAGAACUGCCUUUGAUACUGAAGAUCUUGAGUUCGGGAGAGGUGAGUGGAACUGCGAGUGUAGAGGUGAAAUUCGUAGAUAUUCGCAAGAACACCAGUGGCGAAGGCGGCUCACUGGCCCGAUACUGACGCUGAGGCACGAAAGCGUGGGGAGCAAACAGGAUUAGAUACCCCGGUAGUCCCUGUCUCUUAUAC
rnacentral:rRNA from 1 species